GUGAAAAACUUCUAUCUCAUGAAGCGACAAAGUCAAGCAGAAAUCAUCUGUUCUGCUUUACAAAAAUUAAAAUUGAGUCCUCUACAAGUCUCUCAGAACGUUUCUUUCAAAGAAUAGCUGAAAUCCAUCUCCCUUAACCAAUGCAUUGCAGCAUAGGGAGAUACCUUCCCCUGCCGGCCUCUUUGACAUUACUUUUGGCAGAC
rnacentral:lncRNA from 1 species